GUGGGGAAUUUUGGACAAUGGGCGCAAGCCUGAUCCAGCAAUGCCGCGUGCAGGAAGAAGGCCUUCGGGUUGUAAACUGCUUUUGUACGGAACGAAACGGUCCUGGUUAAUACCUGGGGCUAAUGACGGUACCGUAAGAAUAAGCACCGGCUAACUACGUGCCAGCAGCCGCGGUAAUACGUAGGGUGCAAGCGUUAAUCGGAAUUACUGGGCGUAAAGCGUGCGCAGGCGGUUUUGUAAGACAGGCGUGAAAUCCCCGGGCUCAACCUGGGAAUUGCGCUUGUGACUGCAAGGCUGGAGUGCGGCAGAGGGGGAUGGAAUUCCGCGUGUAGCAGUGAAAUGCGUAGAUAUGCGGAGGAACACCGAUGGCGAAGGCAAUCCCCUGGGCCUGCACUGACGCUCAUGCACGAAAGCGUGGGGAGCAAACAGGAUUAGAUACCCGUGUAGUCC
rnacentral:rRNA from 1 species